UACGUAGGUGGCAAGCGUUGUCCGGAUUUACUGGGCGUAAAGGAUGCGUAGGCGGACAUUUAAGUCAGAUGUGAAAUACCCGAGCUUAACUUGGGUGCUGCAUUUGAAACUGGGUGUCUAGAGUGCAGGAGAGGUAAGUGGAAUUCCUAGUGUAGCGGUGAAAUGCGUAGAGGUUAGGAAGAACACCAGUGGCGAAGGCGACUUACUGGACUGUAACUGACGCUGAGGCAUGAAAGCGUGGGGAGCAAACAGG
rnacentral:rRNA from 1 species